ensembl:snoRNA small nucleolar RNA, H/ACA box 53
AACAUGCUCCCUUAGAUCCAUCUUUGUUUGAUAGCUCUUACACUGAGUUCUACUUAAAGCUUUGGCUACUUAGUAGUUCCAGUUAAGAGAAAUCAGCAACUUUAUGGUUGUACAGUCAAAGAUGCUUGAGUCAUUGGCAUGUGAGAAUAAUAUACCUUCACUCUAGUCUGUUACGUUCUGAUAGAAAUGGCUGUACUGUCAUUUUCUACUAUCAGGAUUUGACUGGAAUGUGGACAUC